rnacentral:lncRNA from 1 species
AUGCUACAGUAUAAAAGAACAUAGUAGAACAUAAAGACAAUAUAUAUAUAUAUAUAGAGUGUGGCUAGGAUGCUUAUGGAAGCACGGAGGGCUCCAUGCUUCCACUUUGUUUUCGAUGUUCGGACUUUUGAAUCGAUGAUCGGCUCCGUUAGACUUGAUCUAGAGUAUUUGAAGUAUCUAAGAAAUAAAUUUUGCGAUUUUUCGAUAUCAUUUGCCUAGUGAUCGAAGUGGCUUAAAAUCAACGACUGAAAAUAAAAAUCUUACAAAAUAUGAUGAUAUGACAUUAAAAUUUUAGAUCAAAAUUAUUGAUCUUGUUUUAUAUGGUAUAAAGAAUUUUCUAUCAAAAUUUCAUGUGAUUUGGAUAUUUUUACACCGUUAAACUUGCAACCGGCUCACCACGGCCAUUAAAAUUAUUGAUUUUGAACCCCUUCGAUCACUAGGCAAAUGAUAUCGAAAAAUCACAAAAUUUAUUUUCGAGGUGCUUCAAAUACUCUAGAUCAACUCUAACGGAGCCGAUCGUCAAUUCGAAAGGCCAAAACUUCGAAAACAACUUGGAAGCAUGGAGGGCUCCAUGCUUCCAUAAGCAUACCAGCCCACUAUAUAUAUAUAUAUAUAAUGAGAGAGAGCUAGGCUGGUAUGCUAUUAGUAGUACGGAGACCUCCGUAUUACUAAGUUGUUUUUAAUGAUGCGACUUCCAAAUCGACGAUCGGCUCCAUUAGACUUGAUCUACACUAUUAAAAGUAUUUGAAAACUAAAUUACAUAAUUUUUUGAUAUCAUUUAGCUAGUAAUCAAAAGAUCUCAAAAUUGACAAUUUUAAUGGUUGAUGUGAUGUGUUUGUAAAUUUAACGGUGUAAAAUAAUUCAAAUCUGAUGAAAUUUUUAUAAAAAACUUUUUUUACUAUUUAAAGUAAGAUCAGUAUCUCUGUUCUUAAAUUCAAGUCUUUUUUUUAUUAUUUUUUAUUAAAUUUUUAUUUUUAACCGUUUAUUUUUAGACUACUCGUUUGAUAGGUAAAUAAUGUCAAAAAAUUAUGAAAUUUAGUUUUCAAAUAUUUUUAAUAGUGUAGAUCAAGUCUAAAAGAGCCGAUCAUCGAUUUGGAAGUCAGAAUAUUGAAAAUAAUUUGGUAGUACAGGAGCCUUGGUGCUACUUUCUUAUUGAAUUCUAUACGCAAAAGCAACUUAUAAUUAACCUACAGUUAACAUUGACAGAGUCGGCGUUGGAUAUAAAUAUGAGUAUUUAGAAGCUAUACGAAGUCGGCGUUGGUAUUACUCCAAUGAGAGGGGCGUACGUCACUUUUAUGUGGUGUUGUACGUAAUUUUGUUAUAGCUUAGUUUAAACUUGAACAUAAGUGUCGGAAACCUUAGUUUUAUUAAUAAUAAAAAAUAAUAAUUAUUUUUUAAAAGAUUAAUCUAUUAAUAUUAUUCAUAUUUAAUAUUUUCUUUCACGUUCGGAAAAUUAGCUUUUCUCGAGAUUAUAUAUUCAAUAUUUUUUCUCAAGUUAGGUAAGGUUGAAUUAAAUGAGAGGAUAUAAGUUUGAAUUUAAUAGAAGAAAAUUAAUUAUACGCAUCCCCGCAUCUGAUAUAUAAGUUUGAAUCAAGUGGGAAAAUUUUUGAGAUGCAAGCUUGAAUUAAAUGGAAGAAAAAUAUUUUGAGGUGUGGUUGAAUUAUAUCUGGGAGAUGUUUUUUGAGAUGUAAUUUUGUAAGAAAUUAAUUAUUCUAGAAAUUUUGAGACACAAGCUUAGAAAAAAUAAUCGUUAUUUUAAAAAAAAAUUAAACUAUCGAAAAAUAAUAUUUUUAAUAUUUAUAUUCAAUAAAUUAAAGAUUAUGAAAAUGUG